rnacentral:rRNA from 1 species
UACGGGGGGGGCAAGCGUUGUUCGGAAUCACUGGGCGUAAAGCGCACGUAGGCGGACUCUUAAGUCGGUGGUGAAAUCCUGGAGCUCAACUCCAGAACUGCCUUCGAUACUGAGAGUCUUGAGUCCGGGAGAGGUGAGUGGAACUGCGAGUGUAGAGGUGAAAUUCGUAGAUAUUCGCAAGAACACCAGUGGCGAAGGCGGCUCACUGGCCCGGUACUGACGCUGAGGUGCGAAAGCGUGGGGAGCAAACAGG